AGCCAUACCCACCUCUGCAGUAGAAAUGAGCCGAGCUAAUAUUUAGCAGGUAUAACCUGGUACUGGCUGGGGUUCACUUCAUAGGUUGGCGCCAAAGCUGGCUAUUAAGUGUUGCAUCACCCAGUGCUCUAGCACCGGUCUCCGUUGUACAGAUUAGGAAACUGUAGCAGAUCAGACGGCUUGUCCAUGCAGAGUCUGCGUGCAAAGCCAGGUUGUCUGACUCCAGACCUGGGCACUCAGGCUGUGCGUCCGCGGCAUCCUGGACUCACUCUCGGAGGAGUGGCCAGUGAGCACUAUCCUGGCACAGAGGGCACGAGGCGAGAGCUGAACGGCCGCGCCCCGGAGCAAAUGUUGGCGUGAGUGUGCUGUCCUCCUGCAGACACCAGCCUGUCGCACGCCUGCACCCCUGCAGGCUGGUUCCGAGCGGAAAAUUAAAGGACACGCCAGACCUGACUGCUGACUAAGCCCCGGAUGUUUGUCAUCACUGUUCUCUACUGCCCCCCUUUUAGGAAUUUCAAAAACGGAGAGGGCGGGAGUUGGUCUGUGGCUUUCGUAUAAAUUUAUUUUAUACAGA